UUUUGUAUCGCAUAUUUGGUUAUAUGUCUUAAAUACAUUGAUGAUAUAUAUAUCAAGGUCAUAAACCGGCUGGCGGUAUAACCGCCACCGCAGUUCAAGAUUUUCUGAUUGCAGGAAAUAUAAAAUUGAGGAUUUCAAGCAAAAGCAUCAGUACUUAUGCACGAAGGCAUAUUUAAAGCAGAAGUAUUGGCUAUUCUAUUACAAGGCAACGCAGUGCCCAAAUAAGAUCAUUGUUCUUCUGGCGGAUCAUAAUAAGGUAGCUAUUUAAACCGGCUUCCGGUUCAAGCCUGCUCAUCGUCAUGCGCCGCUUCAGCUUCCUCAUCUCUAUCCAUUGGCUGGAAAUCAACAGUGGUCCAGUCGAUUCCCAUUAAAGCUUGAAAGACAGCCUCUUCAUGGAUUAGAGAAGACGCUUCAAUAUCAGGAGCGUAAGUAUGCUUACGGUUUGGAGGAAUCAGAUUCUCCGCUUCAAGAGUUGGUGCAGCCACACGUUUGUUCUGAUCAUUAUACUGAGCUUGAUAAUGUGACAAGUCUGCCUCUUCAGCC
rnacentral:lncRNA from 1 species